rnacentral:tRNA from 1 species
GCCGGAUGCGGCGCUGGCCGCCGGCGCCGCUGCCGCCGGUGCGACCUCGCUGCUGCGGGUGCUCGUGGUGGUCCUGGCCGUCAAGCCGGCGC